rnacentral:rRNA from 1 species
UUGAACGCUGGCGGCAGGCCUAACACAUGCAAGUCGAACGGUAACAGGAAACAGCUUGCUGUUUCGCUGACGAGUGGCGGACGGGUGAGUAAUGUCUGGGAAACUGCCUGAUGGAGGGGGAUAACUACUGGAAACGGUAGCUAAUACCGCAUAACGUCGCAAGACCAAAGAGGGGGACCUUCGGGCCUCUUGCCAUCGGAUGUGCCCAGAUGGGAUUAGCUUGUUGGUGGGGUAACGGCUCACCAAGGCGACGAUCCCUAGCUGGUCUGAGAGGAUGACCAGCCACACUGGAACUGAGACACGGUCCAGACUCCUACGGGAGGCAGCAGUGGGGAAUAUUGCACAAUGGGCGCAAGCCUGAUGCAGCCAUGCCGCGUGUAUGAAGAAGGCCUUCGGGUUGUAAAGUACUUUCAGCGGGGAGGAAGGGAGUAAAGUUAAUACCUUUGCUCAUUGACGUUACCCGCAGAAGAAGCACCGGCUAACUCCGUGCCAGCAGCCGCGGUAAUACGGAGGGUGCAAGCGUUAAUCGGAAUUACUGGGCGUAAAGCGCACGCAGGCGGUUUGUUAAGUCAGAUGUGAAAUCCCCGGGCUCAACCUGGGAACUGCAUCUGAUACUGGCAAGCUUGAGUCUCGUAGAGGGGGGUAGAAUUCCAGGUGUAGCGGUGAAAUGCGUAGAGAUCUGGAGGAAUACCGGUGGCGAAGGCGGCCCCCUGGACGAAGACUGACGCUCAGGUGCGAAAGCGUGGGGAGCAAACAGGAUUAGAUACCCUGGUAGUCCACGCCGUAAACGAUGUCGACUUGGAGGUUGUGCCCUUGAGGCGUGGCUUCCGGAGCUAACGCGUUAAGUCGACCGCCUGGGGAGUACGGACGAAAGGUUAAGCCUCAACUGAAUUGACGGGGGCCCGCACAAGCGGUGGAGCAUGUGGUUUAAUUCGAUGCAACGCGAAGAACCUUACCUGGUCUUGACAUCCACGGAAGUUUUCAGAGAUGAGAAUGUGCCUUCGGGAACCGUGAGACAGGUGCUGCAUGGCUGUCGUCAGCUCGUGUUGUGAAAUGUUGGGUUAAGUCCCGCAACGAGCGCAACCCUUAUCCUUUGUUGCCAGCGGUCCGGCCGGGAACUCAAAGGAGACUGCCAGUGAUAAACUGGAGGAAGGUGGGGAUGACGUCAAGUCAUCAUGGCCCUUACGACCAGGGCUACACACGUGCUACAAUGGCGCAUACAAAGAGAAGCGACCUCGCGAGAGCAAGCGGACCUCAUAAAGUGCGUCGUAGUCCGGAUUGGAGUCUGCAACUCGACUCCAUGAAGUCGGAAUCGCUAGUAAUCGUGGAUCAGAAUGCCACGGUGAAUACGUUCCCGGGCCUUGUACACACCGCCCGUCACACCAUGGGAGUGGGUUGCAAAAGAAGUAGGUAGCUUAACCUUCGGGAGGGCGCUUACCACUUUGUGAUUCAUGACUGGGGUG